GCUUAAAAAACUCAACAUAUAUCUCGCUCAAACUAUGGGGUUAACAAAUGAGCCUGACCUAAGAAUAGGGGCUAGUAAUAUGAGGAAAGAGCACCGCCGCAGGGGAAGAGAGAGAAAAAUGAAAAGAGGAGGCGGAUGAACAAGCAAUAUCUAAAUUAAAAAAUCUCCAGGUGUCGCUUUUUGGUUUGGGGGAUUUUACUUUUACUGUUGCGAAAGGUUUUUUACGAGUAUGAGGGCAAAAGAAUAGUGCGGUGUGGAGCUUUCGCAGGAGCACUUUGGCGCCUCGUCGACAUAAUCAUUUUUAUCGUUUUGUUGGAGGUACUGUAACAUUGUGUAGUUGAAUAUAAAUCUUUAACUCAUUGAAUAUAAUAGUGUGUGCUUGGUUUUUUGUA